rnacentral:rRNA from 1 species
GACGAACGCUGGCGGCGUGCUUAACACAUGAAAGUCGAACGAAGUGGCGAACGGGUGAGUAACGCGUAAUCAACCUGCCCUUCAGAGGGGGACAACAGUUGGAAACGACUGCUAAUACCGCAUACUGAAGGUGGGUAUUGCGUCUGAUUAGGUAGUUGGAGGGGUAACGGCCCACCAAGGCGAUGAUCAGUAGCCGGGCUGAGAGGAUGAACGGCCACAUUGGGACUGGGACACGGCCCAGACUCCUACGGGAGGCAGCAGUGGGGAAUCUUCCGCAAUGGACGGAAGUCUGACGGAGCAAAGGCGCGGGAGUGAUGACGGCCUUCGGGUUGUAAAGCUCUGUUAAGCGGGACGCGGUACCGGAAGAGAAAGCCACGGCUAACUACGUGCCAGCAGCCGCGGUAAUUC